rnacentral:RNase_P_RNA from 1 species
AGUGGGCCAGACGAUCGCGGGGUGCCUUUGGCAUCAUGAGGAAAGUCCGGGCUCCAAAGGGCAGGAAGCCGGCUAACGGCCGGGCGGGGUGACCCGACGGAAAGCGCCGCAGAAAAGAAGACUCCCACUGCCCGCCUUGGCGGGUAAGAGAAAAGCUGAAACGGUAGUGUAAGAGACUACCAGCGCCGUGGCAACACGACGGCUUGGCAAGCCCCUUCCGGAGCAAGCGCGAAUAGGAGCGCAAUGGUGUGGCCCGCACUGCGCUCGGGUAGCGCGCUCGAGGCCAGCGGUGACGUUGGUCCUAGAUAAAUGACCGUCCACGACAGAACCCGGCUUACAGGCCCGCUUC